rnacentral:tRNA from 1 species
UAAAAUGAAACUAAAAUAUUUAGUUAUUAAUUUCGACUUAAUACUUAUGAUAUUAAAUUAUCCAUUUUAU